rnacentral:rRNA from 1 species
GACGAACGCUGGCGGCGUGCUUAACACAUGCAAGUCGAACGGAAAGGCCCUGCUUUUGUGGGGUGCUCGUGUCGAACAGGUGAGUAACACGCGAGUAAACCCCCCCUGACAUUGGGAUAACUCUAGGAAACAGGGGCUAAAACCGGAUAGGAGCUCCCGCUCCAUGGGGGGGGUUGUAAAGUUUCGGCGGUUGGGGAUGGACUCUCGGCUUAUCAGCUUGUUGGUGGGGUAGUGGCUUACCAAGGCUUUGACGGGUAGCCGGCCUGAGAGGGUGACCGGCCCCAUUGGGACUGAGAUACGGCCCAGACUCCUACGGGAGGCAGCAGUGGGGAAUAUUGCACAAUGGGCGGAAGCCUGAUGCAGCAACGCCGCGUGCGGGAUGACGGCCUUCGGGUUGUAAACCGCUUUCGCCUGUGACGAAGCGUGAGUGACGGUAAUGGGUAAAGAAGCACCGGCUAACUACGUG